GCAAGGCCCUGGGUUCGGUCCCCAGCUCCAGAAAAAAAAAAAAAGAAGUCUCCCCGAUUGUUUCUUGGCUAGAGCCAACUCACCCCAUUGCAGUCAGUCCCAAGCCAUGAGGAUUAAACCUCAGUGUGAUAGCCAACAACUGUAGAAGUCCUAUUGGCAGGAGUAUCUGGCUUCCUCUGGGCAUGUGAAGGCACAGUACCUCAACUCAGAGGAGAAGGGAACAUCCUACUGAGACAAUGCCCGAGAUGAGACCGUGAAGAAAGCAGCCUUACUCAUGAAGGAGACGGGGGACAAAGGCAGGGGUCUUGCCCAGGACCAUGACAACUGGCAGCUCUGGGAAACUCAGGUGACAAGAAUGAGGACAAUUCACCUCAACACAAUGGUGCUGAUGACUACAAGACUAAUAGCACGUGUUUGUCCAAGGCUUACUAGGCAUCACCUUCUGUUCUUCGAGUGCACAGCACCCCUGUGAGAUGAUUACCGCCACCUUCGCACAGUUAAGAAACAUAAGGCUCAGGGAGGUUUUUAAAAUGUACUCACGAGCCAGAGAGGGAGCCCAGCAGUUAGGAGUGCUUACUGCCCUUGCAGAAGACCCCAGGUUGGUUCUCAGAGCCAACAUGGCAGCUCGCAACUGCCCGAAACUCCAUUCCAGGGGAAUCCAACACGCUCAUGCAUGUCUGUGGCGCAUAUAAACUCACACAAGCACACGCAUAUACACGAAUUAAUUAAAAGCAAAAACAAAACCUCGUUCAAGGACCCAUAGGUAUGAUGUGGAUGGAGCCUGAAUCCUGAAUGGGAAAAAGGCAGGAAUGAAGUUACCAAGGAGGUCAGGGCAGCCACAGAGAGGUUGAAGAAGACUGCAAAGCCAGGCCACACACACAGCCACAGAUACAGAACCAGAGGGGAAGACUAUAAGCUGUCGAGAUCUAAACCCCAGCUCUUCCACCUCCACACCUGAGGAGACCUCUCUGGGCCUCCAUUUCCCAAGCCAUAAAAUGGGGUUAAGAGUUGACUUCAAAGGCUUGUAACACCAACAAAGAGAACAGCAUAGGAAGGGUUCUCUGGAGCCAGCAUAUGCUCUAUGUCCAAUGGGAUUGGGAAUUGGUUGAGGUGACACAGAGCCAAGCCAGGGGAAGGGGGAAGGCACUGAAACAAGUGGCACUCGCAGGACAGAAUACAUGGAAUUCUUGACCAGGCAGGCCUGAACAUCCUCCUGACUCCAGCCAAAUCCACACCUCCUCCUGCAAACCCAGCAGUUUCAAACCCCAUCCUGCAGAAGCCCCCUGGGACAGAGCUAGGCCAGCCCUAACUAAGUGCUCUCGGCAGAUUCGGCUUCACCGUGGGCGGAGAUCACAGCUAGUUCUCCCUUCUAAGAGCUCUCUGGGAUUCUGGACACUACCAGAGUCCUCCAUUCUCCCACCAGCCAGCCUUGACCAUGUGCCAGUCCCUUCCUUACUUCCUUCUCUGCCUGUCCUUGAAAACGGUAGUGUCUACUAGUACAUCAGCACCUCCUGCACAGUCCCCUGCCUGCCCUUUGCCUCCCAGUUCUAAAUAAUCAAAGCCACCAGACAGGAAAGCCUGCAACUGCCUGCUCUCCCACUUAAAACCCUCUCCGGCUACACCCUCUUCUACCUCUCCCACACCCCGUUUCUCCAUUUAUGUUCAUUCACUCAAUACUGCCUCAGUGGCCUUCCCAGAAACCUGGGAUACAGGGGGACUCAAUGCACCAAGUCUUUGUCGAUGCCUUUGCCUCUGUCUCCCUCUCUAAGCACAGCGAGGUUUUAGAUGUGAGAGUGUUGCUGGAGAUGGAGUACAUCUUCUGGGUAUUAGGCAAGCACUCUUACCAGCCAUUGACAGUGAACCCAGCAACCACCCUCGGUUCCUGAGUUCCUGCGCCUCCCAUCAACACCCACCGCAGUACCUACUCCUUCCUUCCUCAGCCUUUUUGUAGGACCCCUUUUUUGGAAUCUCGGGUUACCCUUUCUCUGGCUUGUACUCAUGUUGUCUCUGCUCUGUCGCAGCAGCUCUGAACCUAUAGGUCGAAGCCCCUUCAGGGGUCACCUGAGACCACUAGAAAACACACGUUUAUUUAUAUCAUGGUUUAUAACAGUAGAACAUUUGGGGGGAGGGGGGGGGACAGUGUUCUCUGUGUAGUCCCCACUGCUGUCUUGGAACUCCCUCAGUAGAGCAGGGUGGAUAGAUCUGCCUGCUUCUUCUGCCUCCCAAGUGCUGGGAUUAAAGGCAUGCAAAAAUAAUUUUACUGCUGGGGGUCACCACAGCAUGAGGAACUAUAUUAAAGAAUUACAGCAUUAGGAAGGUUAAGAAUCACAGCUCUGUCAAAUCUGCUCCCUACAGGAUAAAAACAUACAAAUCAGCACCAGACCUUGUUUUCUCAGUAGUGGAUUCUGACUGGCUCACCAGCUUUUCUCAGACCAGAGAGAUCAAACCUAAGUUCUCUCUCUGCUGAAACUGUCUGUCCCUCCUCUGUGAUUCCCAAGCUAAGAAUAUUGCUAUCUCCCAGCCAGGCUCCUGGGUCACAAAUCUCCUUAUACUCGCCAUCGUCUUCACAGGCAAUGAGUCAGCACAUCUACGCUGUUCUGCUGCAGUCCAAAGGCUUGAACCUAGGACGGGGAAGCUCUGCUGCCAAGUUCUACCUCCAAAUCCCUGUCUGCGAGAGCAGUGCCUGCUGUGAACUGAUGCAGUCCUGGCCCCACCUCCCGAGUGCUGGGACUAAAGGUGCUCACCCCUCCUCAGCUCUCCCAGUCCUUUUACCUAGAAGUGUGUCCUAGAUUGCUGGGGCUAGCCUGGAAGUCAUAAUCUUUCUGCCUUAACCUUCCAAGCAUGAGGAUUACAGGCCCACACCACACCCCCAAGCCCAGGUGCCGCUUCUCCUUUCCUUGGGGUCUUGAGCAAUACUGAAGCAGGAGGAGCAGAGCUUGCAGCAAGGCCUCGUCUCAUCUCCCUAAAGUCUCAAUCUACACCCUCCCUGCCCUUCCUACUUCAGUGACCAGAUCCAGCAGAGCUUCCUGACCAGAGCUUCCUGACCAUUCUCCCCCUGUGAUCCCCGCGGUCUCUGCCCUUAGCUGGUUCUUCUCACCUGAAGACACCAUUUACUGAGGGCUUAGUAUCUCAGGCACUUUGCUGAAUGCUGUGCAGGAACAGCCUCAUUAAAUCCCACAAGGUAAAUAGGA